GGCGAAGGGAGUGAACGUCAGUCCAUCGCCGUCCGCCACAAUGGUUGCUCACGUCGCCUCUUGGGUGUGCCUUGCCCUCUCUUGCCUUGCCUUCGCAGGACUGGUAGAAGGCGCCAACCUUCGAGCGGGAUCGUGCGAAUACAACGGCAAAACAUACUGGGGAGGUCAGACCAUCGAGUCCUGCCGGGA